rnacentral:rRNA from 1 species
UACGUAGGGCGCAAGCGUUGUCCGGAAUUAUUGGGCGUAAAGAGCUCGUAGGCGGUUUGUCGCGUCUGCUGUGAAAAUCCGAGGCUCAACCUCGGACUUGCAGUGGGUACGGGCAGACUAGAGUGUGGUAGGGGAGACUGGAAUUCCUGGUGUAGCGGUGGAAUGCGCAGAUAUCAGGAGGAACACCGAUGGCGAAGGCAGGUCUCUGGGCCAUUACUGACACUGAGAAGCGAAAGCAUGGGGAGCGAACAGG